rnacentral:rRNA from 1 species
AGCUUCCUACGGGGCGCAGCAGUGGGGAAUAUUGGGCAAUGGGCGCAAGCCUGACCCAGCAACGCCGCGUGAAGGAAGAAGGCUUUCGGGUUGUAAACUUCUUUUCUCAGGGACGAAGCAAGUGACGGUACCUGAGGAAUAAGCCACGGCUAACUACGUGCCAGCAGCCGCGGUAAUACGUAGGUGGCAAGCGUUAUCCGGAUUCACUGGGUGUAAAGGGCGUGUAGGCGGGAAAGCAAGUCAGAUGUGAAAACCACGGGCUCAACCUGAGGCCGGCAUUUGAAACUGUUUUUCUUGAGUACUGG